GCCGGGCGUGGUGGCUCAUGCCUGUAAUCUCAGCACUUCGGGAGGCUGAGGCGGGCGGAUCACCUGAGGUCAGGAGUUCGAGACCAGCCUGGCCAACAUGGUGAAACCCCGUCUCUA
rnacentral:SRP_RNA from 1 species